rnacentral:lncRNA from 1 species
GCGUGCGCCUACAGCCUCCUCGCCCUCCUCGUGCCGCCGGCGAGCCCCGCCGCGAGGCACGUCCUCGUGGCCGACGCGGUGAGUUCACGGCGCACCACGCUGCCCGGCCGUCUCUGUACAGUAUCGCCACGUCUCUGAUUAGGUCGUUUUUGCUGAACUCGUUGUCAUGAGCUGCAGGUGCUCGGCAUGGUGCUCACCGGCGCGGCCGCGGCCGCGGCCGCCAUAUCGGCCCUGGGGAAGAACGGGAACAGCCACGCGGGCUGGCAGCCGAUCUGCGGGCUAGUGCCCACUUUCUGCGACCAUGUCACGGGGGCUCUCGCCUGUGGCUUCGUCGCGGUCGUCCUCCACUUACUCGUCGUUCUCCAUUCCAUUUACACCAUGAACAGCUAGGGCAUGCUGCCUUUUGUGCCAUUUGUCGCUGGUUUUUACUGCAUGAAGAGAAUAAAUUCGAAUAUACACGCUCUCUCAGUGGCAUAGUUUGUGAUAUUCUGAAAUUACUUGCAAUUUUUUAGACUUCAAAAUUACGCUAGUAUUGCUUUGGUAGAACUAAAGGUUCGUCGACCUGACUAUGUACAUCAAUUUGAAGAUAAUUCUGUGAAAUAAAUGAGCAAAUGUUAUGUGAUCCAUGAGACAAACAAUGUUUCUU